rnacentral:rRNA from 1 species
AUUGAACGCUGGCGGCAGGCCUAACACAUGCAAGUCGAACGAGUGGCGGACGGGUGAGUAAUGUCUGGGAAACUGCCUGAUGGAGGGGGAUAACUACUGGAAACGGUAGCUAAUACCUCAUACCAUCAGAUGUGCCCAGAUGGGAUUAGCUUGUUGGUGGGGUAACGGCUCACCAAGGCGACGCUCUCUAGCUGGUCUGCGAGGAUGACGAGCCACACUGGAACGGAGAGAGGGUCCAGAAUCCAGCGGGAGGAAGGAGGGGGGAAUAUUGCACAAUGGGCGAAAGCCUGAUGCAGCCAUGCCGCGUGUAUGAAGCAGGCCUUCGGGUUGAAAAGUACUUUCAGCGGGGAGGCGUUACCCGCAGAAGAAGCACCGGCUAACUCCGUGCCAGCCGCCGCGGUAAUAC